rnacentral:lncRNA from 1 species
CACCCCAAGUUUGUCUUGUGAACUUUUGAGUUAAGUUAUUAAUCCUCUUACAUUCAGCUGGCAUAGUGGUUUCUUUAAAGGGUUGCUACAAAGACUACAGUUGAGAAGUCCUUUUAUAACCAUGUCCAAAUACAUAGUAUUCUCUAUACUUGUGUUUAAUUGUCUUAUUUUUGCUAGGAAAUAAAAUUUCUGAAUGAGAUCUGAAAAUGGACCUUAGAACCUGAAUACUCACACUUUUGAUACCUAUGCAGUGUUAUAUGAAUUUCCUUAAACCCACUGUUGUUUGCAAUAAGUUGAUUCAUGACAGUGUUCCUUGGAAGGUAAUGGUCAGAAGCUAUGUAGUUUUUCAUAAAAUAUUCCAUCUUGAGUAAAACUGUAAAGGUUCUUCACGGUUCAACCUUACAUUUGGCAGAUCUAACAUAUUUCUGUUCUAUUCAACAUUUUAAAUAGAUAUAGCUAAUCUCCCCAUAUGCUCUAAUGCUGCUUCUUAUGAACUAUCAAAUGCCUUGGCUUUUGGGAAAACCCGGAAGCAUGCAUUUGGUUUGCCUAUAAAUAAAUAAGACAUGUACAGAAUAUUUUCCUGGAAAAGUAUUACUUAUCCUCGUGACAAGUCUUAACACCUGGUAAGACUUGUUCACUUAACAUUUUUUAAGUUUGGUUGCUUUUUUCCCCUGCUGGCUGUUGAAUUUGAAUCCUGAAACAGUUGUAGUAUAUCUUGCUUGCCUGCUUGCACGCUUCCUCUCUUUCCACCUUUUGUUCCAUCUUAAAGCUAAUUUAGGAAAAGUCUGGUUAUAAACUAGUCUUUAUAUAAAAAUUAUCUUUUAUCACUAAUGUAGUUUUUUUUCCAGAACCAUCAGCUAAUAGGAAUAUAAGACCAUUGCUCUCCAUAAUUACUGGAUUACUUCUACAUCUUUCAUUAGUAUUUAAAGAGCCAAAGAGCUAACAAUAUAUUCCAGAUUUUUUACGUGGACAUGCCUUCCUUUUGGACUCAUCAUAAAUUCAUAGGACUGUAAGGACAGUUGAGUAUGAUGGUUCUGGGCACCUUUAGGUAAUAACAUCUUCUUCCUACUUUUCUCUCUAUCUCUGCUUUGCUCCUUUUCCUGAACCUGCUUUUGGCUUUCUUCAACUGCUCCUCUGGCACUCUUGUGUGUAAAACCAAUCACCUGCACCCUAGUUAUCCCCAUUUGUCCUCGUUCAGCAUCUUGCAGCCCCAUCAUCAUGCCCUACAAAGCUGCACACUCUAGAAAUUCGAUGGAUCGACCAAAACUCUUUGUAACACCACCUGAGGGCUCUUCUCGCAGGAGGAUCAUUCAUGGCACAGCGGUGAGUAGCUGUUGGGAGCAGCUGGGCAAGUCUGGGAGCCAGUGCUGUUCCUGUGCAGACUGUACAUGACCCUGAGCUGUGGUGUGGGCGUAAGAGGGGGAGACCGUGACAUCCACCAUCCCAUCUUUCCCAUUGAUCAUGAAUCUGGCUAGCUGGGCAGUAGUGUCCCCUCACUUCCUCUUCACUUGGGGAUUUUGCUCUCCCUAAACAUUUGAAUUUGAAGAUGAAAGCUGUUCUUUGUUCAAGCAUGUAUGAGUGGACGCCCUACCCUCCUGGAGCGUCCAUACACAUAAGUACAAUGCCAGAAUACUUUCAUUUUUGAAAGUAGGAAAACCAAAUGGCCUUUGAAGGGGAAGUGGGCUUGGACUGCUGCCUUGGCAUUUUAUUUCAACCAUAUCCAGAAGCUGGCUGAACUCUAAAUGUGGUUCACUCAAAAGCAAGAUAAAGAAUUUUUAUCCUGCUUGGCUAAUCCCUGUCAAGGCCCUGUCAAGGGAUCUUAAAAUUUAGUCAAAAAAGUAUUUUGAAAACAUUAGUCAUUUGCUAUAUCACUAAUUCGUAAAAGGCUGUUAGGCUGUGCUAUAAAUUCUGAUUUUGUAAGUGAAAAAUAUAAUUUGUACUUAUUAUUACGGGCUGAGGUAAUGUUAAUUUUCACCAUGCUAUAAAUGCAAUGAGGUAAUUUGUAUGUCUCCAGGAAUCUUCUUCUUUGUUUUAAAUCUUGUGUUUAUUUGGUGUCAGUUGAAAGAUAUAAACCUUGUUCUGUGGUCUUUAGACAUUGUACUUUAGUCUUAAAGGACUCACCAGUGAACUAGAAGAUCUCAUUGCCUCUCUCCAGGAUAACAGUAUGACCCUUUUGAUGAAAGGCUGAAACAGUUUCUUAAAAUCGUAACUUCCCAGAGCAAUUCAGAUUUAUAAACCUGAUGGACACUUAAAAGGAUUUUGCUUAAAGGAUAAUUCAGGGUUGUGAGAGCUUGAUGGCUUUGCCUACAGCCUGUUUUUCUUUCAAGCUCCAUCGGCCUUUCUGGAAUCAGUGUUUGAUUCAUGAUUGAGUCAGGCCUCCAACCCUCUAAGCCACAGGUGAAACAAUCUUUGAUGUCUGGAAAGUUUUAAUUUAUUAGAGUGUUGGUGUUUCAGAGAUCCUCCUUAGCUGUAGACAGAAAGCCGUAGUUAAACAGAACAGGUUGGCCCCAAAGUUGGGUACUCACUGGGCAGGGGAAAAGAGCAUUUACCAUGGAAAAACUAUCUUGUUCUGGGUAAAAACAAAAAUUAACACUCCUUGAGAGAAGGUUGAGGGCCACCUGUGGCUGACAGGUUAAAUGAGAGAUUUGUCAUCACAUGAUCCAGAGCCUUGUUUUGUUUUGUUUUUAUUACCUUCCUCUUUCUCUAUUUAAUCACAUAGCUGUCUUUUUACCUCUUUACAACCAAGUAUUUAGGCAAAUACUAACAGAAAACGACUCAGAGUCAUUUAUACCCUGGAGCUGCACUGUGGAAUUCAGUAGUGACUGGCCACAGUGAGCACUUGGAAAGUGGCUACUGAAACUGACAAGCUAAAUUUUAAGUUUUUAAAAAAUAUUUAGUUGUGUU